CAACCACAAUGGCUGUGGAAAGGGCAGUUAACUUUCUAAAAAAAAAAUCUCAAUAACAAAGCCACAGUAACCCCUCAAAACAUCUCACAAAUCAGAUCCAGGCCUGAGUACAGAUGAAGAAUCACCGCAUAUUCAUCAUUUCUGGAAAACGCAUUCAAAGAGGGCCAGAAGCAGCUGUUUUGUGCUCAAACCACGGCAUGUUUACCUCCAAAACCAGUGCUAAGGAAACAGUUACACUGCUUAUCUGAGAGGGAUGCAUACACAGAAAAGGAUUGGUUUAUAGGCUAAGCAGUGGUUUUUGUCUCAGACAAUUAUUUUUACGAUAUUCUCUCCCUGGGGCCCACAGGCCCCAGACAGAAGACCCUACCUGGCUGCAUCCUAAUUAAGGCUUCUUUCCUGACACAGGGUUGCAGAGGUAAUAAAUUGUGCCCAAUUUGCUGGUCUUCUGCUCCCAGUCACCCCUCAUCUGCAGCCACUGUUCCUUGUUCCCUGUUGCUUUAUUCGAACACACCAGCCACUUUCUCCCAGCCAGUUGCUAUGUCUCUCCCUGGAUGCAUUCGUGGACCCAGGUCACAUCUUCAUCAUUAUCCUCUACCAAGAAGACAACACUUUGGAACUUGAUGUGAAUAAGGGAGACUGGCAAUUUAAGUACCAUUUAUAGCAAAGGGAAAAGAG
rnacentral:lncRNA from 1 species